GCUCAGAGCGCCGAGAACUGCUGUGUGGUUUAGGUAGUUUCAUGUUGUUGGGGCUCCACCUUUCUCUCUACAGCACGAAACUGCCUUAAUUACUUCAGUUGAAAUCGUCACCAGGUAUG
rnacentral:pre_miRNA from 14 species